rnacentral:rRNA from 1 species
AUUGAACGCUGGCGGCAUGCUUUACACAUGCAAGUCGAACGGUAACAGGGUGCUUGCACCGCUGACGUGUGGCGAACGGGUGAGUAAUGCGUCGGAACGUGCCGAGCAGUGGGGGAUAACGCACCGAGAGUUGUGCUAAUACCGCAUACGUACUGAUGUAGAAAGUGGGGGACUUUCGGGCCUCUCGCUAUUAGACGGGCUGACGUCUGAUUAGCUAGUAGGUGAGGUAAAGGCUCACCUAGGCGGCGAUCAGUAGCGGGUCUGAGAGGAUGAUCCGCCACACUGGGACUGAGACACGGCCCAGACUCCUACGGGAGGCAGCAGUGGGGAAUUUUGGACAAUGGGCGAAAGCCUGAUCCAGCCAUGCCGCGUGUCUGAAGAAGGCCUUCGGGUUGUAAAGGAUUUUUGUCAGGGAGGAAAUCCCUAGUGCUAAUAACACUGGGGGAUGACAGUACCUGAAGAAUAAGCACCGGCUAACUACGUGCCAGCAGCCGCCGUAA